rnacentral:rRNA from 1 species
UACCCUGGCGGCGUGCUUACACAUGCAAGUCCCGCGAGAAGUUUAGAAAUGGAUCUUCGGAGAAAUAGAUAAAUGGACAGCGGCGGACGGGUGAGUAACGCGUAAAUAACCUACCAUGCACACAAGGAUAGCCAUCGGAAACGGUGAAUAAUACUUGAUGAGGCUACAGUUUCGCAUGAAACAGUAGUUAAAGAAUUUUGGUGUAUGAUGGAUUUGCGUUUGAUUAGCUAGUUGGUAAGGUAAUGGCUUACCAAGGCGAUGAUCAAUAGCCGGCCUGAGAGGGUGAACGGCCACACUGGAACUGAGACACGGUCCAGACUCCUACGGGAGGCAGCAGUGGGGAAUAUUGCACAAUGGGCGGAAGCCUGAUGCAGCAACGCCGCGUGAACGAAGAAGGCUUUCGAGUCGUAAAGUUCUGUUAUGGGGGAAGAAGAAGUGACGGUACCCUAUAAGAAAGCCACGGCUAAUUACGUGCCAGCAGCCGCGGUAAUACGUAAGUGGCGAGCGUUAUCCGGAAUUACUGGGCAUAAAGAGUUCGUAGGCGGUCAAAAAAGCCAAUAGUGAAAGCCACCGGCCUAACCGGUGUAAGCUAAUGGAACUGAUUGACUUGAGUACAGGAGAGGAAAGUGGAAUUCCUAGUGUAGUAGUGAAAUGCGUAGAUAUUAGGAAGAACAUCAGUAGCGAAGGCGACUUUCUGGACUGAACUGACGCUGAGGAACGAAAGCGUGGGGAGCAAACAGGAUUAGAUACCCUGGUAGUCC